rnacentral:lncRNA from 1 species
UUUUUAAAAUGAGCCUCCCCUUUUCCUCUCUAGGGUUUCGGCCGAAUCUUGGGGGAGCCAUCGUUGGUCCAUUGCUCCUUCACCGUAGACGGUGGUCGAGCGGCCUAAAACAGGCUUUUCAGCCCCUGUUUAGAACACCCUCGAAGGCCACUCUCCAAACCUAAAAAGAACGAAGAAAAAGGGGCUCUCCCCUGCCUUUUAGACUCGGUUACGACGACGGAAAGGGUGUUCCGAUGACACGACUCAAGGUUGAGGUAAGUCUGCUUCCGUUCUCUUUUAAUUUUUUGUUUAAAAUCUAUUUAAAAACAAAAAAUAGAUAAAUAAAUAAAAAGGAAAUCGAAAGAAAAAAAAAGAUAAAACGAGAUUCAAAAUCAACCUUUUUUCUGUUUUCGCUUUUGAUUGCUUAAUCGUCUAUAAUAAAUUACAUUUCUCAUUUUUUGGGGCUUUAUAGCUGAGAAAUAAUACAUAUAUUAGUUAUUUUAUUUCGUUUCCUUUGCGUGUUGCUCCGGUUCUACUUGCUUUCUCCCCUUUUUGCAUGUUUGCAGGUCCAUUGAAGGUCAACAGAUAAGGAAGUUUCUACUUCCGUGCAAGGAGAGUCGACCCUCGGGCAGAGUAUGCGCUGAAGCACGUGGGUGAAGGCUGCGGCGCGAGGGAGGCUCAGAAACCCUAGGGUUCCUGAGUUGGUUUAGUGUUUUGGGCCUAUUGGGCUGAUAGGAAUUGGGUUAGGGAUUUUGGGUUAUGUUUGGGCAAUUUGUAAAUUGGGCCUGCUGGGUUUUUGAUGUUGUGAAUGGACUCUAAUAAUU